GCCAGAGAUGUAGCUCAGCUGGUCGAGCGUGAGACUCUUAAUCUCAGGGUUGGGGGGUUCGAGCCCAACAUUGGGCA
rnacentral:tRNA from 1 species